GUUUGCAGAGCACCCACUGUGUGCAGGCACCGCACCAUGCUCUCCAGGGCUGCGGAUGAGCAACAGAGACGCGUGAACAAACCUACAGGAAACAGCAAGCAGCGAUAAACUGAAAAACAAGAUUUUUAAGUUUUGGAGAUGCAUGUGCCUAUGUCGCCCAGGCUGGCCUUGGACUCCUGGGAUCAAGCAAGCUUCCUGACUCAGCCACCUGAAUACUGAAUACCUGGGACCUCAGGCAUGUGUCACUGUGCCCAGUUCUAAGUAUUCUCAUUUCUAAAAUGAGAAUGUUAACAGCAUCUGCCUCUGCCAGUCACA